rnacentral:snRNA from 1 species
AGAUAUGAAGGUGACCUGGCUGUGACAUCUGUCCCCCUACACAUCACUGAGGUUGAUUCUGCUGAUGGAACUGGCCAGGCAGGUAUUUCCUUCCUCCCUCACCGCUCCCUGUGUAACCUCCCAAAGCUGUGAAGUCUGUGAAAGGGGAUGUCCUCCCUGGAAACAGAGACAGACCAUUUUUUGGUCAAGGGUGCGCGAGCAGCUGUGAGAACCUUCAGACAAGUUCUCAAGGUCCAUCUGCUAGGGAAUGUAGACAAGCUUCCCAGACGCUAGACGCACCCAAAUGAGGCGCCAUGUGUGGCAGUCUGUGCCUUUCUUU